CCCGCACAAGCGGCGGAGCAUGUGGUUUAAUUCGAUGCAACGCGAAGAACCUUACCUGGUCUUGACAUCCACGGAAGUUUUCAGAGAUGAGAAUGUGCCUUCGGGAACCGUGAGACAGGUGCUGCAUGGCUGUCGUCAGCUCGUGUUGUGAAAUGUUGGGUUAAGUCCCGCAACGAGCGCAACCCUUAUCCUUUGUUGCCAGCGGUCCGGCCGGGAACUCAAAGGAGACUGCCAGUGAUAAACUGGAGGAAGGUGGGAUGACGUCAAGUCAUCAUGGCCCUUACGACCAGGGCUACACACGUGCUACAAUGGCGCAUACAAAGAGAAGCGACCUCGCGAGAGCAAGCGGACCUCAUAAAGUGCGUCGUAGUCCGGAUUGGAGUCUGCAACUCGACUCCAUGAAGUCGGAAUCGCUAGUAAUCGUGGAUCAGAAUGCCACGGUGAAUACGUUCCCGGGCCUU
rnacentral:rRNA from 1 species